rnacentral:rRNA from 1 species
UACGUAGGGUGCAAGCGUUGUCCGGAAUUAUUGGGCGUAAAGAGCUCGUAGGCGGUCUGUCGCGUCUGCUGUGAAAACUCGGGGCUUAACCCCGGGCCUGCAGUGGGUACGGGCAGACUAGAGUGCGGUAGGGGAGACUGGAAUUCCUGGUGUAGCGGUGAAAUGCGCAGAUAUCAGGAGGAACACCGAUGGCGAAGGCAGGUCUCUGGGCUGUAACUGACGCUGAGGAGCGAAAGCAUGGGGAGCGAACAGG